AUUGAACGCUGGCGGCAUGCCUUACACAUGCAAGUCGAACGGUAACAGGUUAAGCUGACGAGUGGCGAACGGGUGAGUAAUGUAUCGGAACGUGCCCAGUCGUGGGGGAUAACUACUCGAAAGAGUGGCUAAUACCGCAUACGACCUGAGGGUGAAAGCGGGGGACCGUAAGGCCUCGCGCGAUUGGAGCGGCCGAUAUCAGAUUAGCUAGUUGGUGGGGUAAAAGCCCACCAAGGCGACGAUCUGUAGCUGGUCUGAGAGGACGACCAGCCACACUGGGACUGAGACACGGCCCAGACUCCUACGGGAGGCAGCAGUGGGGAACUUUGGACAAUGGGCGCAAGCCUGAUUCAGCCAUGCCGCGUGUCUGAAGAAGGCCUUCGGGUUGUAAACCGCUUUUGUCAGGGAAGAAACGAGUUUCUCUAAUACAGAGACUUAAUGACGGUACCUGAAGAAUAAGCACCGGCUAACUACGUGCCAGCAGCCGCGGUAAGAC
rnacentral:rRNA from 1 species